GAACAAGUUGCUCUUUAGUUCUGGCAAUUUACUAUAAAGUUUUGUUAUUAAAUAAAUAACAUGUUUUGUUUAUUUUUACAGUGUUCAGGUUCCACAGAAAAAAACAGGAGUCAAACAAAAUUAAAGAUUACCAAUCGACUGCUCGCUUCAUUAGUAUCGUUUCCAGUCUUUCAAUUCAGCACGAAUAAGGACAACCAACUACCACUCCCAUCACUCCUCCCUUCAUUCAUACCAUAUUCAAAGGUGGAAUCCCUCUCCGUUUCUAUGGUGAAAUGGAUUGCCUUGUCCAGGGAUUAAUAAAUGAGAAAGGUUACAAUGAGAAUUCACAUAUUAUUUCAUUUAGUUAAUUUUCUGUUUUUUCUGGUAUUAUAAUAAUAAAACUGUUUUCUUAUUUCAAA